AUAUUGAUUUAAAACAAAAAAAAUUUCAAAACCGCCGAGAACCGCCGGAACCGCCGAGAACCGCCGGAACCGAAACCGCCAGAAUCGCCGGAACCGAAACCGCCAGAACUGGAACCGGAUGGUACCCGGAACCAGAUGGUACCGAUUGCACCUUCAAAACCGGCAGAACCGGAACAGCAGACCCUAAUAGACCCAGAACCGAAACCGGAUACAAUCUUAUUCUAGAUCUUGUUCACGCCUUUUUCCCCUCUUUUAUUUCAAAUUUUAUUUAAUAGUCCCUAAUUUAAUGACUCGUUACUCAAGUAAGUAUACUAACUUCCUGGAAUUCUAUCUUGAACCCUAUCUAGAAUGUUCCAGAGGUUUCUACCGGUGGCUACCAAGAUUCUUUCUAUCUAAAAGCCUAUAUUGCCCUUGAAUUUGAAUCAAAAAUUACUAACCAACCGUACCCCAACCAUGCUAUCCUUAUUGAAUUAUCAUAAAUAACCAAAUCGAUUUAAGCUAAUUAAUACUAACUAAUUAUGCUAAGCCUAGUGAUGAACUCAAACCACACAGUGAAUUAAAGAAUCAUUGAUAACAAUCACCAACUAAACCAAUUAACACUGAACUAAUCAAUUAAAUCAAACAACACCAAAUUGAAACCAUCUAUGAAGAAUAGACGAACAAAAUCAAAAUACAAGGCCAGAACUAAUCAUAAAUUCCUACUGUUGAAAUCACACGGGCAAACUACCAAAAACAAAUCAACUAUAUGGUAAAAAAUCAGAAACCUAUAUUGAAACCCUAAUUCACCACAAAAUCAUAAAAGAUAUUCUGAACAAAUUAAAAACGAAAGAAAAUAGAUAAGACAGUAAGCAAGAAAGAAAAUAAAACAAAACAAAAACGAAAAGAAAAAGGACGAUGAAAUACUUGGGAGAAGAAAAGAAACAAGCGGUAUUUUAGACUCGGGAUAAGUGGUAUUUGGGUUGUUCUCAUGGGAACAACCCACUUAACACUUGUCUCUAGUCCAAGAACUCUACAAGCUCGGAGAAACACUGAACCAAACUUUGAUGGACGAUGUACAAGCGAAGAGGGAAUUAGGGCUCAAUUUUUUAUCUAAGAUUCGAGAGGCUGUGAGGUGAUUCGAGAAGAACGGAGUGGAUAUUUGGAAUAAGGGGAGGAAGAGGAUCUUAGGAUGUUAAUUUGGAGGGUAAGGGUGUCGAAGCCGCCACCGAGUGGUUGUAGGAAUUUAGGGCGGCGGUGGGAGAUGGAGGGUACGAGGAAGAUGAAGAAAUUGCCUCUAAAGUUAUAAGGGGUUUAUUACAUUUUUAUGUAAUUGCCUUGGACGAAUCUGAACCGUUGGAUGAAAAGAAUUGGAGGGCCCAAAU
rnacentral:lncRNA from 1 species